GAAUUGUUCCCAAGAAACCUGCCAAGAUAAGUGCCGUGAUCCUCACUGCCCAGAUGGGACACGGGCCUGGAGACAUAAAGCCCCCACUCAGAGCAGUAAAG